rnacentral:sRNA from 1 species
ACGUACAAGCUGCAAGACCCAGACAACAAAUCAAAGACUUUAACGUCGCAUGUAAACAGGAUGAAAAGUUACGUCAAUCCGAACGAUCGCCCGGACGACAACAAUGAUGACCCCGAUCAAACGCCGUCACAGUUAGAAACCGGUGAUGAUCAAGAAAUAGUAAAAAUUCUGGAUCUAAUGAGACAAAGAAACGACUCCAGGCGAUUAGAGAAAUUUUACUUAGUCCAAUUUAAAAACGGCAAAACCCAGUGGGUCAACGAAAAAGAUAUUGGGAAUUUUAAAAUUAUAGAAGACUUUAUUAAAUCUAAGAAAUAAACGUGUGUAUAUAUAUAAGAAACAAACGCGUGUAUAUAUGUAGCAGGAGAAAACUUACAUUAAAAAAAAAUGACGAAAAAAAAAAAUUAAAGAUAUAUAAAAAAGAAAAAGAAAAAAAGGAAAGUUGUAAAGUGCACGUAAAUAGUAUUGUAUUAUUGUUUGUGCUACGUAUGUGUAAUGCAAUUAUUUUAUUUAGUUACAUGUAUAAUGAAAGUCUGUCGGCUAAUUAUCAUAGUGUGUCGGGACGCCACACUUAGGAGGGGAGGUAUGUUACAGGGCCAUCCCCUUGGGUUAAUUAUCUUUAAUAAGUGUCGGAUGAAAAAUGUCAUAUGAAAGGUUUGAUAAGGUUGCAGGUGCGCGACGCAGGCGUUGUAGCCCUGUUUCCCAAGAGUAUCAUUUUAGCUCGUUAGGCAAGUGAGAGAGAGCGAACAUGAGUCUAUAAUUUCUGAGUUAAUAUCUGUAGUUGUCAUUUGUUUAUUGUGCAUGAUAAAGUUCUGAGAGAUGAAAGUGAGCAGUUGAUUGAGUUAUGGGUGAGUCUGAGGAGUGAUAGAUAAUUGGUAUGGCCAUACCCAGGGAACACGUGGGAGACAGGAGGGAAUGAGUUUGGAUGUUAAAGAGUGAGGACGCAUUUGUGAUAUAACCUGUGUUUCCUAUAUAUUGUGUAAUUCGUGUUUGUUGUAAAUAUGUAAAUAAACUUGUAA